GAGUUUGAUCUUGGCUCAGAUUGAACGCUGGCGGCAUGCCUUACACAUGCAAGUCGAACGGCAGCACGGGAGCUUGCUCCUGGUGGCGAGUAGCGAACGGGUGAGUAAUGCAUCGGAACGUAUCCUGGAGUGGGGGAUAACGUAGCGAAAGUUACGCUAAUACCGCAUAUUCUGUGAGCAGGAAAGCGGGGGACCUUCGGGCCUCGCGCUCUUGGAGCGGCCGAUGUCGGAUUAGCUAGUUGGUGAGGUAAAGGCUCACCAAGGCGACGAUCCGUAGCAGGUCUGAGAGGAUGAUCUGCCACACUGGAACUGAGACACGGUCCAGACUCCUACGGAGGCAGCAGUGGGAAUUUUGGACAAUGGGGGCAACCCUGAUCCAGCCAUGCCGCGUGAGUGAAGAAGGCCUC
rnacentral:rRNA from 1 species